GGGUGAAAAGCCCGCUCGCCGAAAGCCCAAGGUUUCCUACGCAACGUUCAUCGGCGUAGGGUGAGUCGGCCCCUAAGGCGAGGCUGAAAAGCGUAGUCGAUGGGAAACGGGUUAAAAUUCCCGUACUUUUGUGUAGUGCGAUGUGGGGACGGAGAAGGUUAGGUCAUCAGACUGUUGGAAUAGUCUGUUUAAGCCGGUAGGCGUGAGGGGUAGGCAAAUCCGCCCUUCUUUAACGCCGAGACGUGAUGACGAGGGUCUACGGACCUGAAGUGACUGAUACCACGCUUCCAGGAAAAGCCACUAAGCUUCAGCUACACAAGAACCGUACCGCAAACCGACACAGGUGGGCAGGAUGAGAAUUCUAAGGCGCUUGAGAGAACUCAGGAGAAGGAACUCGGCAAAUUGAUACCGUAACUUCGGGAGAAGGUAUGCCUCUUAGAGUGUAGGACUUCGCGUUCGAAGCUUUGAGAGGUCGCAGAGAAUCGGUGGCUGCGACUGUUUAACAAAAACACAGCACUGUGCCAACACGAAAGUGGACGUAUACGGUGUGACGCCUGCCCGGUGCCGGAAGGUUAAGUGAUGGGGUGCAAGCUCUUGAUCGAAGCCCCGGUAAACGGCGGCCGUAACUAUAACGGUCCUAAGGUAGCGAAAUUCCUUGUCGGGUAAGUUCCGACCCGCACGAAUGGCGUAACGAUGGCCACACUGUCUCCUCCUGAGACUCAGCGAAGUUGAAGUGUUUGUGAAGAUGCAAUCUCCCCGCUGCUAGACGGAAAGACCCCGUGAACCUUUACUGUAGCUUUGCAUUGGACUUUGAACAGACUUGUGUAGGAUAGGUGGGAGGCUUUGAAGCCAGGACGCUAGUUCUGGUGGAGCCGUCCUUGAAAUACCACCCUGGUGUGUUUGAGGUUCUAACCUUGGUCCGUGAUCCGGAUUGGGGACAGUGCAUGGUAGGCAGUUUGACUGGGGCGGUCUCCUCCCAAAGUGUAACGGAGGAGUUCGAAGGUUACCUAGGUACGGUCGGAAAUCGUGCUGAUAGUGCAAUGGCAAAAGGUAGCUUAACUGCGAGACCGACAAGUCGAGCAGGUGCGAAAGCAGGACAUAGUGAUCCGGUGGUUCUGAAUGGAAGGGCCAUCGCUCAACGGAUAAAAGGUACUCCGGGGAUAACAGGCUGAUACCGCCCAAGAGUUCACAUCGACGGCGGUGUUUGGCACCUCGAUGUCGGCUCAUCACAUCCUGGGGCUGUAGCCGGUCCCAAGGGUAUGGCUGUUCGCCAUUUAAAGUGGUACGUGAGCUGGGUUCAAAACGUCGUGAGACAGUUUGGUCCCUAUCUGCAGUGGGCGUUGGAAGUUUGACGGGGGCUGCUCCUAGUACGAGAGGACCGGAGUGGACGCACCUCUGGUGUACCGGUUGUGACGCCAGUCGCAUUGCCGGGUAGCUAAGUGCGGAAGAGAUAACCGCUGAAAGCAUCUAAGCGGGAAACUUGCCUGAAGAUGAGACUUCCCUGGAGGCUUGACCUCCCUGAAGAGUCGUUCGAGACCAGGACGUUGAUAGGUCGGGUGUGGAAGCGCUGUGAGGCGUGAAGCUAACCGAUACUAAUUGCUCGUGAGGCUUGAUCCU
rnacentral:rRNA from 1 species